CGAGGCGUUUAGGGAGCAGAAACGGGGAAAGGUGGUGCAAAUCAGGAGGAAUCAUUUCUUAGAGGAAGAAAAACCAGAAAAAGUGCCAGUGAUGUAGUGCUAUAAGAUUUUCAGUUGGUUUGAAAAGGAUAAUUUAUAUAUGGAGGCUAUAUUUCUUGUCUUUUUCUUUUCCUCUCAACUCAUGUAUUUGAUGAAAUUGAGCAGUUGAUGCAAAGUAUUAUAAGACUGAGAAAAACGCUUGCAGCUGCGUAAUCGGAAAGCAGAAAAAGGAUUGGAUGUGUCUAUAUUGCAUCACCUUAAUAUUUUUCUGAGUCAACUGAAGAACAAUGACGAGUUAGAACUGGUUAAAGCAAGUUCUGAAGAGGUAAUUUUAUGAA